CCUACGGGAGGCAGCAGUGGGGAAUAUUGCACAAUGGGGGAAACCCUGAUGCAGCGACGCCGCGUGAGUGAAGAAGUAAUUCGUUAUGUAAAGCUCUAUCAGCAGGGAAGAAAAUGACGGUACCUAUGCCAGAAGCCCUGGCUAACUACGGGCCAGCAACCGCGGGAAUACGUCGGGGGCACGCGUUAUCCGGAUUUACUGGGUGGAAAGGGAGCGUAGACGGCAUUGCAAGUCUGGAGUGAAAGGGGGGGGCCCAACCCCCGGACUGCACUGGAAACUGUACGGCGGGAGUGCAGGAGAGGUAAGUGGAAUUCCUGGUGUAGCGGGGAAAUGCGUAGAUAUUAGGAGGAAAACCAGUGGCGAAGGCGGCUUACUGGACUGUAACUGACGUUGAGGCUCGAAAGCGUGGGGAGCAAACAGGAUUAGAUACCCUAGUAGUC
rnacentral:rRNA from 1 species